rnacentral:rRNA from 1 species
GACGAACGCUGGCGGCGUGCUUAACACAUGCAAGUCGAACGGAAAGGCCCUGCUUUUGUGGGUUGCUCGAGUGGCGAACGGGUGAGUAACACGUUAGUAACCUGCCCUUGACUUUGGGAUAACUUCAGGAAACUGGGGCUAAUACCGGAUAGGAGCUCCUGCUGCAUGGUGGGGGUUGGAAAGUUUCGGCGGUUGGGGAUGGACUCGCGGCUUAUCAGCUUGUUGGUGGGGUAGUGGCUUACCAAGGCUUUGACGGGUAGCCGGCCUGAGAGGGUGACCGGCCACACUGGGACUGAGAUACGGACCAGACUCAUAAGGGAGGCAGCAGUGGGGAAUAUUGCACAAUGGGCGGAAGCCUGAUGCAGCAACGCAGCGUGCGGGAUGAAGGCCUUAGGGUUGUAAACCGCUUUCGCCUGUGACGAAGAGUGAGUGACGGUAAUGGGUAAAGAAGCAACGGCUAAAUACGUG